CCUCCUUUCUAAGGAGAAAUUCCAUAAAUCUUAUGGAAUAUGGUCGAACUCAAAACCUUUUUGGUCACGCAUACCUGUAUUUUUGGGCUUGUAGCUCAGGUGGUUAGAGCGCAUCCCUGAUAAGGAUGAGGUCCGUGGUUCGAGUCCACGCAGGCCCACUUGAUCUACUGCCAAAUAUUUUGGGGCUGUAGCUCAGUUGGGAGAGCACCUGAUUUGCAUUCAGGAGGUCGCAGGUUCGAUCCCUGUCAGCUCCACAACAAAAAAUUUGUUUUUUGACAAUUGGGAAUUGAUGUCGAUUCACAAAUGUGAAUCGUCUUCUGCAAAUCGCGGAAGGCGGUAACUUCAUUUUGUGACACUAAAAUAAUAAAUAGUGAAAUCGUCUCUUAUUAUAAUAUAAGAGAUGGAUUAUUCACGUGAUCAAGAGCCUUNGGUAAAGCUACUAAGAGCGUAUAGAGGAUGC
rnacentral:tRNA from 1 species